AGAGUUUGAUCCUGGCUCAGGACGAACGCUGGCGGCGCGCCUAACACAUGCAAGUCGAACGAGAGAGAAGGAGCUUGCUUCUUCGAUCGAGUGGCGAACGGGUGAGUAACGCGUGAGGAACCUGCCUCAAAGAGGGGGACAACAGUUGGAAACGACUGCUAAUACCGCAUAAGCCCACGGCUCGGCAUCGAGCAGAGGGAAAAGGAGCAAUCCGCUUUGAGAUGGCCUCGCGUCCGAUUAGCUAGUUGGUGAGGUAACGGCCCACCAAGGCGACGAUCGGUAGCCGGACUGAGAGGUUGAACGGCCACAUUGGGACUGAGACACGGCCCAGACUCCUACGGGAGGCAGCAGUGGGGAAUAUUGCACAAUGGGGGAAACCCUGAUGCAGCGACGCCGCGUGGAGGAAGAAGGUCUUCGGAUUGUAAACUCCUGUUGUUGAGGAAGAUAAUGACGGUACUCAACAAGGAAGUGACGGCUAACUACGUGCCAGCAGCCGCGGUAAAACGUAGGUCACAAGCGUUGUCCGGAAUUACUGGGUGUAAAGGGAGCGCAGGCGGGAAGACAAGUUGGAAGUGAAAUCUAUGGGCUCAACCCAUAAACUGCUUUCAAAACUGUUUUUCUUGAGUAGUGCAGAGGUAGGCGGAAUUCCCGGUGUAGCGGUGGAAUGCGUAGAUAUCGGGAGGAACACCAGUGGCGAAGGCGGCCUACUGGGCACCAACUGACGCUGAGGCUCGAAAGUGUGGGUAGCAAACAGGAUUAGAUACCCUGGUAGUCCACACCGUAAACGAUGAUUACUAGGUGUUGGAGGAUUGACCCCUUCAGUGCCGCAGUUAACACAAUAAGUAAUCCACCUGGGGAGUACGACCGCAAGGUUGAAACUCAAAGGAAUUGACGGGGGCCCGCAC
rnacentral:rRNA from 1 species